rnacentral:rRNA from 1 species
UACGGGGGGGGCGAGCGUUGUUCGGAAUCACUGGGCGUAAAGGGCGCGUAGGCGGCCCGCACAAGUCUGCGGUGAAAACCCCCGGCUUAACCGGGGGCCGGCCGUGGAAACUGUCGGGCUAGAGGCCGGGAGAGGGCAGCGGAAUUCCCGGUGUAGCGGUGAAAUGCGCAGAUAUCAGGAAGAACACCCGUGGCGAAGGCGGCUCUCUGGGACGGUACUGACGCUGAGACGCGAAAGCGUGGGGAGCGAACAGG